AGCAGCCGCGGUAAUUCCAGCUCCAAUAGCGUAUAUUAAAGUUGUUGCAGUUAAAAAGCUCGUAGUUGAAUUUCGGGAUCGACGGGUCGGCCGCGCCUCUGGUGUGUACUGGCCCUGUCGGUUUCUCCCUUCUGACGAACCACGAUGUCAUUAAUUUGGUGUCGUGGGAAAUCAGGACUGUUACUUUGAAAAAAUUAGAGUGUUUAAAGCAGGCAUUCGCUUGAAUACAUUAGCAUGGAAUAAUGAAAUAGGACGUUUGAUCUUAUUUUGUUGGUUUCUAAGAUCGACGUAAUGAUUAAUAGGGAUAGUUGGGGGCAUUAGUAUUCAAUUGUCAGAGGUGAAAUUCUUGGAUUUAUUGAAGACUAACUACUGCGAAAGCAUUUGCCAAGGAUGUUUUCAUUAAUCAAGAACGAAAGUUAGGGGAUCGAAGACGAUCAGAUACCGUCGUAG
rnacentral:rRNA from 1 species